rnacentral:tRNA from 1 species
AUCAGAAUGGUGGAGUGGUCUAAAGCAUGAGACUCAAGGCUUUGUCUUCCCCUCUCCUGGGUGUUUUGGUCUCUGUAUGGAGAUGUGGGUUCAAAUCCCAUUUCUGAUG